UUGACUGCCUUAUCUAUUCCUUGUUGACUACCUUAUUCCCCAAGGAAACAUAGUUAUAAAAACGGUACCCGAAAGCUUCAGUUCUCACACCUUCCGCCAACUCAAACAAAUUUCCGGUCACCUUGUUUGUUUUUCGGCAAACCUUCGUUAUAUUCUGACCCUUUUGUUCGUCUCAGGUUUCGGAAGUUACAACCCAGUGUGGACCAGUUAAACAUAAUUUUGAACCAUCAUUAAAGGUUAGCAGGGAUGGCGGGAAAGUGUGAAGAGAGCUAAAAUAAACAAGUUGGAAACUUAGUGUGUAAUAAUGUAUGAAAUAAAUUAUCAGGAAUAAAUCUUUUGUAAACUCGUUUGGAUAUUAAUAAAAUAAGCCCCUUUUGUA